CAGAUUACUUGCUGCUGUUACGUGCUGCUGGAGUUGUCCGUGUUGUCUUCCUAGGAUUUCUUCUUUCUCAGGAUGUUCGUCAUCUCCUAUUCUCCUCUGCAUUUGUUGGACCUGGCCGCUUCUCGCUGUCGGUUGUCGUACCAUGGCUACGUGCGUGAGGUGGGCGGCGAUGGUUCCGUCCUUGGAGGCGUGGAGCUUGAGAUCGCUGUUGUCCAGGAGGGGCCCGCGCCCACCCGGUUUUUUUUCUGGUCGUCCGUGUCUUCCGGUUUGCAGUCUCCGUUCGAGGAAUCGGCCUUGCAGGCUAUUCGCUUUUUACAGAGUCUGUACGGAUUUGUGAUUCGUGACUUCAAUUACGAGGGGUUGCAGGCCCAUAGGGACCUCGCGCGUUGUGCUGUUGUCCUUGCAGUUUCGGUGCUUCGGUCGGGUGGUGUUUCGUCACCUGUUGGUUCUGUACAUCCUCUUACCGAGACAAUGUGUCAUCAAUUCAUAUGUAAUCAGCUUAUCUCUUCUGUGUGUAACAUGUAGCGUUCUCUGAUCAGCAAACUAUUCAUUUGAUGAUUAUGUAUAAGAGAUUAUUUUACUA